CGCGUAGGCGGUGCGGUAAGUCACCUGUGAAGCCUCCGGGCUCAACUCGGAGCCUGCAGGCGAAACUGCCGUGCUGGAGUGUGGGAGGGGUGCGUGGAAUUCCCGGUGUAGCAGUGAAAUGCGUAGAGAUCGGGAGGAACACCUGUGGCGAAAGCGGCGCACUGGACCACAACUGACGCUGAGGCGCGAAAGCUAGGGGAGCAAACAGGAUUAGAUACCCUGGUAGUCCUAGCCCUAAACGAUGGAUGCUUGGUGUAGCCGGUACCCAAUCCGGCUGUGCCGCAGCUAACGCGAUAAGCAUCCCGCCUGGGGAGUACGGUCGCAAGGCUGAA
rnacentral:rRNA from 1 species